rnacentral:rRNA from 1 species
UGCGCAGGCGGGCUUGUAAGUCAGUGGUGAAAUACUGCCGCUUAACGGUAGAACUGCCAUUGAUACUGCAAGUCUUGAAUAUGGUUGAGGUAGGCGGAAUGUGUUGUGUAGCGGUGAAAUGCAUAGAUAUGACACAGAACGCCGAUUGCGAAGGCAGCUUACUAAGCCAUAAUUGACGCUGCGGCACGAAAGCGUGGGGAGCGAACAGGAUUAGAUACCCUGGUAGUCC